ensembl:lncRNA GRIK1-AS1 GRIK1 antisense RNA 1
GUUCUUCAGGCCUGUCUCAGAGCUAUGGAGGAUGCAGCAAAAGGGAUGCCUUUGAUCUGCUGUCUCUGGAUGCACAAGGAGCUCAGAGAAACAACCAGGACACAGAACAAAACAAAGCAUGGAGCUCUAAUUUAGGGGUUUCAGCUAAGCGAGUCACUCAGCACCAGCACUGCACAGGAGGUAGUUCUUACAGCUUCCUUUAUGAGAAAGAUUUGUUCUUCUGUUUAUAGCGCACGCUCUGAUGUGGACUUCCAGCUCAGAACCCAGGUUCUCGAACUCAUGAACGCAUUCAGCAUCCCUUGCUAUCACAACCAGCUUGACAGAAAGACCACAGGCCAAGUGCAGCAGAGUUCCAGAAAGUGAAUGCAGCAAAAUACCCUUGCUCUCUUUGAGGGUAUCAGAGCCAGGAGGGUGGCUGACUCUGAUGAUAGAACAAGAGCCAAAUAUGCUCCUGAUGCUCCAGUAGAGUGGUCUUCAGGUGAUCGAGAUUCCGAGCUCCCAAACCAAGGCAAGAAUAAGGAAACUGGAACAGGAGGGCAUGCUGGGCUCCAGCCUCCCGUGACAGUGAAACAUUGCCUUAGAAUGACUGUUGUUAAUACAAUUGAGGAAAUAUAACACGUAAUCUUGUGAUUAAGUUAUACACAAUUUGAUUUAAAUUUAGUUCCUGGCAGUUGCUAGGUUUCACUCUGGCAUACUCUCUCAGUGUGGAAGCUGCUGAUUCAGAAAGAGAUGUUCCAAAGCUCAUGUAUUUCCUGGACACAUCCAAGUACUGAAUAAAAUGCUGGUUAAAUAAAUGAGUUAAUUUUCCAAGAAAGACA